GGGGGAUGGUCUCUUCCCUACUCCUGAUGACAAUGCUAUUUCCGAUACAAGCCAGGAUGCCAUUGGCCUUGUUUGCCACCUGGUCACACUGUUGGCUCAUGUUAAUCUGAGUGUCAACCAAUGUGCCCAGGUGCCUUUCUUCCACACAGUCUUCCAGCCACUCUGCCUCAAGCCUGUAGUGUUACAUUGGAUUGUGGCCAAAAGGAAACAGACUGAUGCUGUUUGCUACAAGCAGACUUGUACCAACUCCCAAUGUCUGGAGAAGAAAUUCAACCUGAGGAGCUGGGUGAGAAAAUGAAGCACUUAACAAGUAAAUUGAUUCCAGCUGAUCUUCUUGGAAAAAAUGGCUAUAACUUUUCAUUUUCAGCUUGUACGAGUUAUGGUAUCAUCAGAUCUACAUUUUCUUCAAAGAUCUUACUUCACUCAUAGGAAGAAAUGAACAAGAAAGCUUUAUGGUUGAAAGUCAACUCAUUAAUCUUAUUUGUCAUAUAUCAAAAUUUGCUGCACUUAGCAACGGGAGAUUUAGAAGUGAAAGUGUAGAAUACUUGACUAUAAUCAUAUAUUUCAUAUCAUGUUUAGUUAUGUCUGCAACGUGGGAAGGGGAUACCUUUUACUGAGACUACUUCUGCCAGAAAAGCUGUAGAAUGUGUUCCAAAUUGUCAUUUAGAAAAAAAAAUUUUUGGUGAUCUAGAAGAUCAUUGUCUGUAUUUUUAAUACUCUAAGCAGGACUGGUCUUUGUGUGUUAUGAUAAAGUCUUGAGGUAUGUGCUAGAUCUACUAAGAAAGCCAAGCUUUGCCUUGCCUUUUGACAUUCACUAUGUCAGCAAGGGUUUACUGUUCUCAUUAUUACUGUGAAAUAAUGGGUUGAGUUUAGUGCAGACAAGAAAGUGAUAUAAAUUUAAAAAAAAAAAAAAAGAUGAAUUAUGGGAAGGUGCUAUUAACUGAUGAAUGUUAAAUAUGUAAAUGUCCUAAGCAUCUGUAGUGAGAAGAAAGCUGGUGUGGUCCAUACUAGACUAUACUGGAAUGAACCAAGAACGCAAUGAAGAUAUGUAUCAUCUUUUGAGUGGAAGCUCUCUAUGGAAACAGGAAGAUCUGGGACCAACACAGCCCUUAAGAAAGGAGAAGUCAUGCAAUGAAGAAAUACUUGACAAUAAAUCAAUUGGUUUAAAUUGUUCUUUUGUGAAU
rnacentral:lncRNA from 1 species